UACAGAGGUCUCAAGCGUUGUUCGGAUUCAUUGGGCGUAAAGGGUGCGUAGGUGGCGCUGUAAGUCGGGUGUGAAAUUUCGGAGCUUAACUCCGAAACUGCAUUCGAUACUGCGGUGCUUGAGGACUGGAGAGGAGACUGGAAUUCAUGGUGUAGCAGUGAAAUGCGUAGAGAUCAGGAGGAACACCUGUGGCGAAAGCGGCUCACUGGACCAUAACUGACGCUGAUGCACGAAAGCUAGGGGAGCAAACAGG
rnacentral:rRNA from 1 species